rnacentral:rRNA from 1 species
AGAGUUUGAUCCUGGCUCAGGACGAACGCUGGCGGCGUGCUUAACACAUGCAAGUCGAACGGUAAGGCCCUUCGGGGUACACGAGUGGCGAACGGGUGAGUAACACGUGGGUAAUCUGCCCUGCACAUCGGGAUAAGCCUGGGAAACUGGGUCUAAUACCGAAUAGGACCACAGGACACAUGUCCUGUGGUGGAAAGCUUUUGCGGUGUGGGAUGGGCCCGCGGCCUAUCAGCUUGUUGGUGGGGUGAUGGCCUACCAAGGCGACGACGGGUAGCCGGCCUGAGAGGGUGUCCGGCCACACUGGGACUGAGAUACGGCCCAGACUCCUACGGGAGGCAGCAGUGGGGAAUAUUGCACAACGGGCGAAAGCCUGAUGCAGCGACGCCGCGUGGGGGAUGACGGCCUUCGGGUUGUAAACCUCUUUCACCAUCGACGAAGGUCCGGGUUUUCUCGGGCUGACGGUAGGUGGAGAAGAAGCACCGGCCAACUACGUGCCAGCAGCCGCGGUAAUACGUAGGGUGCGAGCGUUGUCCGGAAUUACUGGGCGUAAAGAGCUCGUAGGUGGUUUGUCGCGUUGUUCGUGAAAUCUCACGGCUUAACUGUGAGCGUGCGGGCGAUACGGGCAGACUUGAGUACUGCAGGGGAGACUGGAGUUCCUGGUGUAGCGGUGGAAUGCGCAGAUAUCAGGAGGAACACCGGUGGCGAAGGCGGGUCUCUGGGCAGUAACUGACGCUGAGGAGCGAAAGCGUGGGGAGCGAACAGGAUUAGAUACCCUGGUAGUCCAA